rnacentral:rRNA from 1 species
UGGGGAAUUUUGGACAAUGGGCGAAAGCCUGAUCCAGCAAUGCCGCGUGUGCGAAGAAGGCCUUCGGGUUGUAAAGCACUUUUGUCCGGAAAGAAAUCCGCCUGGCUAAUACCCGGGCGGGAUGACGGUACCGGAAGAAUAAGCACCGGCUAACUACGUGCCAGCAGCCGCGGUAAUACGUAGGGUGCGAGCGUUAAUCGGAAUUACUGGGCGUAAAGCGUGCGCAGGCGGCUUUGUAAGACAGAUGUGAAAUCCCCGGGCUCAACCCGGGAACUGCAUUUGUGACUGCAAGGCUAGAGUGCGUCAGAGGGAGGUGGAAUUCCGCGUGUAGCAGUGAAAUGCGUAGAGAUGCGGAGGAACACCGAUGGCGAAGGCAGCCUCCUGAGAUGACACUGACGCUCAUGCACGAAAGCGUGGGGAGCAAACA